rnacentral:rRNA from 1 species
ACAGAGAAGAGUUUGAUCCUGGCUCAGGAUGAACGCUAGCGAUAGGCUUAACACAUGCAAGUCGAGGGGUAGCAGGGUAGCAAUACCGCUGACGACCGGCGCACGGGU